AGGCAGGCCCAAAGCAGCCCUUGAUGUUACAGCAUAAGGCAGGAAGUCCCCUGGUCUGAGUUGGGGGUAAUGGCUUUUUACAUUCCCUAAACCUUACGCUCAUCCCUGAGGGAGGGUCCUCCUGCUGCAGCCCUUAAUCUUAAUAUCAGAACUGUUCUACUCCUGUGCCAUCUCUUGACUCUCUGAGGAUCCCUGCAGAUGAUGAGAUUGUGACAGGAGCCAUGGACCUGAAUGAUGAUGUUAUCAUUAUUGUAACAAUAACAACAGUACUAAUAGGUAAUCAGCCAUGUACCAUGCUCAGUGCAAAUUAAUCCUCACAGGAUCUUGAUUUUGCAGACGAGUAAACAGAGCUCAGAGAGGUUACCCAAGAUGCCUAUGGUCACACAGCAAAUAUGUGAUAAGGCUAGAAUCAGAACUCAGACUUGCCUUCUUCAAAUCCUUUGCUCAUAAGUAGCGUUGACUGUACCAUAGGUUUCUCUGGUACAGUUUGAGGCUUGGUAGACUGUGGCCUGUCAUUAAAAGACCCCAUUGUGACAGCCCUCCCUUCAAUUGAGCCCUGCUCUAGGAAGAACUGUAUGUUUUGGUGAAUGAUGUAGUGGAGAUGAAAAUGGCAACUGAUUGUUAUGCUGUAUGGGGUAACGCACAGGUUCAUAUGCUUGAACUCAAGUAAUCCUUACAACUCUAUAGGUGAUUUUUCAGUCUUGUGGUAUAUAUAGAUGUAGAGGCUCAUUCACAGGGUUGUUGUGCAGGGGACAGCUUGAACUUCAGUCUUCUGACUCCAUGUGACCUGUGAUCUUGCUGCUGCCCAGGACUUUCAGAGUCUGGGGCUUGGAAGCCAUGUGAAGAUCACACUGUCCAUCGCCUAUUGAGAACCACUUUCUUCUUUGGCAAAAUCACGAAUGUGGUUAAUAACCCACUAGAGUAUAGUGUUGGCUUCCUUUCGCUGCUGGUUUUAAAAUAGGGCUGUUUGACCUCUAGCUCAGAUUUGGAAGGCCAAGUCUGAACUCGGGUACGUGUGGAUGGCUGCCACUUAGUCCCAGUUUUGUCACUAUGCCAAGCUCAGAGGUUAUCCUGUGCUGAAUAUAGACUCCUCCUUUGCUGAAAAUAGUAUGUGCAAUAGGGUAGGGAAACAUUUUUCUUUCCUAGAAAAUCGCUCCUUGCUGCUCUAGGUAGCAUCGACUUCUGUGAAACCAUCUGUUCCUUCCAGUAUAAUUUCCAGACUAUUAGAUUAAACAGUUUCUCCUGACCCACUUUCGGCUUCUGUUUCCUUUCACUGUUCAUUAAUAAAUUGUGUAGCAGAGUUUUCGUGGAGAGCGUGUGUGUAUAUUUAUUUAAUUUCAGUUUGGGCAACAGCAAUUGUUGGGUGCUGUGAAUUUAUUUAAUUUCCUACCUGUGUUUCAUUUUUGUUUCAGUUUCUGUAAUUGCUCUGAGUCGGUUGCUUUUUUUUUGUUUUGUUUUUAAGACUCAUGAAAGGAAGUCAGCAGCAUGAGUUAUGAGUUGAGGUUCUGGUUGGGAGGUGUGCUAAAAACAGACCCUGUUUUUAUACUGAAGACGCAGAGUGGUAAGGAAAUCGGUUCCCAUAAAACAUGUCUUACUGCAGAUAAAUAUGCUUUUACAGAGUUUGUGGGGAUUUUUAAAGAUAAAUGAGAUAAUAUGCAUGACAUGGCUUUAAGCUUUUCUGAGCAAAGCUACGAUGUGCGUCUUCUGUAUUAUUGCUGCUUUUGAUAAGGCAAGCAAGUCUAUUAGUAUUAAUGUUAUUGUUAAAUAUUCACUAAUGGAGGUAAUAAGAUUAGAUUUAAGAGGAAGGAAGGCAUUCUUUGCAUUCCUUUCUUAAUGUAAAAAUUCUUCCUGCUCUUUUCCCAGCUAGUCUGAAGCCAGACCAAGAAACAACACUCAGUGUUGUGAGAGGAAAAGCCCAAGUUUGUAUGUGUGUGUCUGUGUGCAAGCAGUAAAUUUCAGCGACUUAAGUCUGCCUUCAGUGAAAUGAAAUUUCUUGGUGAUGACUGUUAUCUGUCAGAGCAAAACCAAAUUAUUUUUCUGCAGAAUUCAUAAAAGCAGCGCUGUAGUAGCGGGAAUAAUUUUUAUCAAAUUUGGUUAAAAUGAAACAGAAAACAAGUUAAUGUUCUAUGUGUUCUACUAAUGUUACUAGCAAUAUUGCUUCAAAGACUUUUUAUAAAGAAGCUUUCUCCAGCACUUUGACCAGACUUCACUGAUGCUUCAAAGAAAGGAGGCUUGUUGAAUGUUGUCUAUGAAAUAUUUUUGAAAACAACUCUGGUAUGAAAAGGUAGAGGAUUCUGGCUUCAAGUUGGAUGUCACUAUCAUCAUGUCUAGAAAGUCAUUUGCUCAGUUCUGUGCUUUAGACAUAUUUCAAGCUGUUCUUUAUUUACAGGCCAGAUCUUUUGAUAAAUAAAAAUUACAUAGGUGAUGGGUACCUGCUACACUUACCAGCAGCUGAGAUGUUUUCCCAUUUUAUUGCAUAAACAUACUUUUCAGGUACAUACAUAGGAUUUAUUAGGAGGAGGAUACAUUAGUUUGAUAGUCUUCUUCUCCAGAGAGGAAGGGGAUUAUUUCAGUUGGGUAUCCCAGGUGUAAAUUCAGAAUUGUGUAGUAAGCAUGAACACAGUAUGGCACAAUUUGGACAAAAGUCUUGCUUUUGACCCAAGACUGGUAACAUAUUCCUACGGGAGCUGGCAUACUUAGUGGGGUGGACUUUCCUUAAUGGAGAAAGCAGUCUUUUCUGAUAAGCUUAUUCAGUAAAAUUAAUUCAUUGGAUAUUUAUUGAUUACUUGCUCUUUGUCAGGGCGGGGUCCCUCAGUGUAGGAACCAAUGUCUAAAACAUUCCAUCCAGUUCUACAUUAUUAAUGUCCUACCCCAGGGUCUGGUUUCUCUGGAAACCAGUUCAAUGCAGGCACAGCCUUUAUAGAGUCUGUGUUUUAUCUUGGAAAAGCAUCUGCUUUGACUUACCGUGAUCUAUCUUUGACUUGGUGGGUGCUGCAUGGCUGGAGAUUUGUCUACUGUGUGGUGGGCACAGGAAGGCCCUGGAAAUCUCAGACCAGGUCUGAUCCCUGGGCCCACCAGCCGCAGUGUGGGAAAACCCCUGGGUUAGUGCCUCAACCAAACCGGCUUCCUGGAAGUGAGGGACUUGCCUGGGCUGCUCAUGCCCACAUCCGAGCUUCUGGGGACUUAGUAGGUGCAUCCAGGAUGCCCUGGGUUUUAGUCUGUCAUGCCUUUCUCCGUAAGCAAUGGUCUGCUUGGCCAGGCUGAGAUAAGCUUAUGAAAAAAAGUUACUGCUGGUUCUUCCAAUAGCCUGGGCUGAGUUAAUUCCAGGACCAGGACUAGGGACAGGGGGAAGGGCACUGAGGGUUUUGAGGAUUGCCUUGUUUUAUCCCCCAAAUUGAUGGCCCAUCUGCUCCUUUUCUUACCAGUGUUUCUUAUGAAUCUGGAAACUGUAAAUUAAUUCUUAUUUCUACUUGGCAGUACUUACUGUGGACUUUAUAUAAAUGGAUUAGACCAAAAUAACUAAAAUCUAAGGAAAAAAAAAAACAACAACUAUCUUUUCUCCUAAUAGCCUUUACUGUCUUUGCUAUAAAGUGAGAAUUCAGAUGUGGCUUAAGGCAAGCAAUGGGGCUAGUGCCCCAGACAGGUGAAGGAACCAAGGUUUUGUUGUUCAAACUGGGAGUAAUAUGAGUUGAGAGCAAGGUUAACUGAGGUAAAAACAAAAACAAAAACUUUAAACUCAAAUUUUAUGCUUACUAGUUGCAUGAUAUUAAACAGCAUGGUGCACACCCUCCAAGAUGGCCUCCAACAACCCUCCUGAUGUUUAAGCCUUUGUGUAAUCCCCUUCCCUUGAGCGUGGAAGGACCUAAUGACUUAUUUCUAGUGAAUAUGAUACCAUAAAAGUAAUGGGAUGUCACUUCCGAGAUCAGGUUACAAAAAGACAGUGGACUCUCUCUUGCUCUCUUCCUCACUUCCUCUGAGUGAAGCCAGCUGCCAUUUUGUUAGUUAGCCCAGUGGAGAGACCCACAUGGCUAAGAACUUAGAGAUGCCACCUGCUAAUAGCCAGUGAGAAACUGGGCCCUUGUCCAGCAGCCCUGGAGGACUUGAGCCCUACAGACGCACAAAUGCAUGAGCUUGGAAGUAGAUUCUCCCUUAGUGGAACCUUGAGAUCCCUUCAGCCCUGGAUGAUGCCCUGAAGCCACCUCAUGAUAAGCCUUGAGCCAGAGACACCCAGCAAAACUUCACCUGGAUUCCUGACUCACAGAAACCGUGAGAAGCUGUUUCUAUCUCAUUAACUCUCUACCCUCUGCAUCUACCACUGAGCUACAUGAAGCUGCUUCUGGGAGUAAUGAAAGAUGCUGGAGGCUGGAACCAGCUGCUGCCACCAGGAGGAAGUGCCACAAAGAGAAGGAGGCCCCUUCUCCCCUCUCCUGCCAGCUAAUCUCCAUCUGGAGCCCCCACUGGUAGAACCUAAUAGGAACCUAAAAGGCAAGAAGGAAUGCCAUUUUCAGAGUGCUGGCUCUCAACACAUCAGGGUCUAGAAGGGUGGAUGGACCUGAGUGACAGUGACCGAAUGACCAGCACAGUCUACCCCUUCAGAUUCUCGGCAUCCAGAUGUCUUUCUGCGCAUUUUUAACUCGACAGGACAACACAACAACUUCGUUUCUGCCUAACAAGACGUAACUGCUCUUCGUACAGUGCUCUUGCUCUUUCCCCAAGAAGGAGAGACACAGUGUCCUUCUCCGGGUGACAUGAGUGAUUUUUCUACUUCAGUCUGUAAGAUACAGAGUGUUCAGAUGGGACUGGAGCAGCUAGAAGAGGCUUCGGUGUUGCUCAGACAUGGAUGCCUUGACUGUGAGGACUUGGCCUCUGCCCUGAGCCAACACUUCACCUGACUGGGGUUUAUCACCUCAUAGAAUAAUCUAGGAAUCUAAAUCCUUAGUGGCCUUGAAUCCCUGUUGCCUUAAUUUUCCAAUAUUUAUUCUUGGACAUGAAGUAACAAGAGGCACUCCAGAGACUGCCUUGGGUUCCAUUUUUUGGCAAUAAUCUAGUUUCCCUUUGGAAAUCAGGAUCACUUGCCCCAGCCAGUACAUUUUGGUUCUGUGGCAUUCAUAAUCCAAAAUGGCCAAGGGGCAGAGUCACCUGCCAGUUCAUUGAAACCAUUGCUAAAUUGUCUGGUAGAAGUAUUCCUUCCUUGAGAACCAUGACCUUCACACCAGCAGCGCCAAGAGUUGUAUGGCCAGGAAGCAAAAAAAUCUGUUAGGAAGAGGAGCCAUUCCUUCUUCCACCCGUUGGUUUUUACAAUGAAAUAGAACUGAUUUUGCUUACAUUCCUUGUCCUGAGAGAGUGAACUCCCAACUUGUCAGGAUGUUGUCUCCCCAUCUGGUUCCACAGGGAAUGUUGGGCCAAUAAUUGGUGUUUUUUUGUUUUUGUUUUUGUUUUUUUUUUUAAUUUCAAAUCAUGUAAAGAUUUUUCCAAACAUA